UAAUACGUAGGGGGCAAGCGUUGUCCGGAUUUAUUGGGCGUAAAGAGCGUGUAGGCGGCCUGGUAGGUCAGCUGUGAAAACUCGAGGCUCAACCUCGAGACGCCGGUUGAAACCAUCAGGCUAGAGUCCGGAAGAGGAGAGUGGAAUUCCCGGUGUAGCGGUGAAAUGCGCAGAUAUCGGGAAGAACACCCGUGGCUAAGGCGGCUCUCUAGUACGGUACUGACGCUGAGACGCGAAAGCGUGGGGAGCGAACAG
rnacentral:rRNA from 1 species